UGGUCUCCACCUGCCACCUCCCCCACUCCGCUGAGUUCAAUAGAAUGUAGCCUGUGUCCUGGGUGAUGGUCGAGUCUUAGGUUGCUUUCAUUUCCUCUUAGUUCCUCUAGGUGUUUGGGGUUACGGGGUGCCAGAAAACAGGGGCCCACAUCUUUUGAAAUGAGAAUCAGAGGGCUCCACACAUUUGUGUUUCUGGGAGAGACACACUUGAGGCUUUUGCAGACCAGUUUUUUAUUUGUUUAUUUAUUUUUUUGAGACAGAGUUUCGCUCUUGUUGCCCAGGUUGGAGUGCAGUGGCAGCUCACCACAACCUCCGAUCCCAGGUUCAAGCGAUUCUCCUGCCUCAGGCUCCUGAGUAGCUGGGAUCACAGGCACCUGCCACCACGGUUGGCUAACUUUUGUAUUUUUAGUAGAGACGGGGUUUCUCCAUGCUGGUCAGGCUGGUCUCAAACUCCCGACCUCAGGUGAUCCUCCCACGUUGGCCUCCCAAAGUGCUGGGAUUACAGGCGUGAGCCACCGCGCCCGGCGCAGAGCAGUUUUUAUUCGUCAUAGCAAGGAGGAUUUUGAUAUUAUGCUCAAAUCCCUCACAUCGUCCCUGGGAUAUAAUCUGCUCUCCGUCAGAUUGUGUUGAAGGAAGAAUGAGGCGCUACUGAAAGGAGGACCUCAGACCUUCCAUGCGAUGCAAAGGAGGAGGAGCAGAUGGGCAGGGAAGGGCUGCAGCCCAGCAGGACCGUCUAGCCUGUGCAGGAAGCUUAUACAUUGAGGCUGCAGUAUUUUUCUUGAGAUGGAGUCUCACUGUCACCCAGGUUGAAGUGCAGUGGCAUGAUCUCGGUUCACCGCAACCUCCAUCUUCUGGGUUCAAGCUAUGCUCCUGCCUCAACCUCUCCAGUAGCUGGGAUUACAGGCGAACACCACCACACCUGGCUAAUUUUUGUAUUUUUAGUAGAGACGGGGUUUCACCAUGUUGGUCAGGCUGGCCUCAAACUCCUGACCUAAAUGGAUCCACCAACCUCGGCUUCCCAAAAUGCUGGGAUUACAGGCGUGAGCCACUGUGCCCGUUUGGAUGCAGUAGUUUCAGUCUGACAGAAACACAAUUUUCAAGCAUACAUUUUCUUUUAAUCUUGAAGAAUAGUCAUUAUGACACAUCUUGGGUCACACCGACCUCCGGAUUCAUCCAGUGUGUCCAUGGCUGCUAAUCGUGAUAUUUUCAACUAAAAACAAGCAAACCUGAUUUUUGCUAAAUGUUUCCGGCUGUAAGAUGUCAAUUGCUACAAUUUAGUUUCCAGGUGAUCUGUUAUUUUGAACAAACGUUAAACUUUAAUAUUCUACUACAUUCUUUUUUUUUUUGAGACGGAGUUUCACUCCUGUCACCCAGGCUGGAGUGCAAUGGCGUGAUCUCAGCUCACCUCGACCUCCGCCUCCUGGGUUCAGGCAAUUCUCCUGCCUCAGCCUCCUGAGUAGCUGGGAUUACAGGCACGUGCCACUGUGCCCAGCUAAUUUUUUGUAUUUUUAGUAGAGACGGGGUUUCACCAUGUUGACCAGGAUGGUCUCGAUCUCUUGACCUCAUGAUCCACCUGCCUCGGCCUCCCAAAGUGCUGGGAUUAUAGGUGUGAGCCACCGCGCCCGGCUCUGCUACGUUCUUAAGUGAGCAAAAAAAACCCCACAAAUCUUCGCUUGUCACAGCUGUUUAACGUUUUAUGAACCUGACGCCUGUCCUUCAUUACUCUGAGGUUGAAAGCUUUCGUUCAGCUCACGUGAGGAUUGAAAAAGAACUCUCAUGGUGUUGCUUACCACAGUUCCUACUUUUCAUAAUAUGUAAUAUGUAAAAACACUGUAUUUGAGCUGCUCACGAGACGCAUUUUAUGUUUACCUAAACGUAAUGAUCAUUUCACAGAAUGCAAAAAGGUUUUUACCAUAGUCUAAAAUCACAGAAGUAAAAACAUAGUAAUUACAGGUUUUCAGAUUUCUUUUCAGGUUACUCAGAUUUGAUUCAUAGCAAAUAUUCUUUGUUUCGUUUUUUAAACAGGCUCGUUCCAAACUGAAUAAAUUUUCAAUGGUGGAAAAAUAGAAAGAAAUUUCUUUUGUGUAAAACAAAUACUGUGAUGAAAAGGAAAAUCAGCACUCUGUGUUCAACAGUUACUUAUGAAGUAAUUUAUUACAGAGUUAUCUCUGCAAUUAUCAUAAUUGGGUUGCCACUGAAUCUUUGUUUCAAAAAUGUGUGUUUUUAAAAUUUCUUACUCUGUGCAAGGAAAUGGUUUGACAUAUUUAUACCUUUUGUUGUGGUAAAAUGUUUAUUCCUAAA